rnacentral:lncRNA from 1 species
GGCAGGCGCGGUAAGGUGCUAACACCUUCCUUACAUGUAAUCGAUUCCCGAACCUGAAAAUCUUUUUUUUGUAGACCUAAUCUUAUUUUAUGGUUUUCCAUAGUUUUUCCAUAAUAAAUUAUGGUGGCGACCCACAAAAUCUUUUCUUAAAUCCGUUGAUUUUCGGUUCGCCAUCCCAUCGCGAUCCUGGUUGCGACAAAUGGUGACUCCACUGGGGACGCAUAGAGAAUCA